UGACCAAUUUCAACAAAACCCUAAUCUGCCUUACAAAAUAAAAAUCAUUUUGUUUUCGUUCUCCUUCCGCUCGCUCCCUAUGUUCUUCAUUUUUCUGCCUCCGCCUUCAAUCUCCCUCCGCCGUUCGAUCUCCGUUCAGUUUCCCUCCGCUGACUGCCGUUCGAUCUCUUUUCUGCAGCACCCUUCGCAAUCGACGACGGCCCCACCGCGACCAGUCACUCGACCACGCCCUUUAGACCUCUCCGCGCCGUACGACCACCGUGAGAUCUCCUCCCUCCGUGCUAGCAACGCGACCACUUCGUCUCCCUUUCCAAUCUCCUCCGCCGUGAGUAAUCUUUGAUUGAUUUUUAUUUUUCUGUUUUGCUUCACCUACUUUUGUUUCAAAAGCGAGGACAACCUUUCAUUCCAUUGCGGCGAAAGCGGAACGUGUUCUCCUUGACUUCAAAUCAGAUCGAGAUCAAGAGAAGCAAUCUCCUGAUAGCUUGACGAGGCAAACUGAAGUUGAAUCUACAAGCAGCGAGAAACAGAGUAAGGUAAUUAGGAUUGGAGUUUUUUUUGUUGUUGUAGAUUUUCCUUAUUCAAAUUGUUGUAUUGAACAUGGUGAAAAUGUAUUCACUUUGGGGUUAAUGCAUUUGGAUUUUGAUUAGGAUUUGGUAUAGGGUUAUGAAAUGAAAGUGUAUUAGUUUGUUUCUAUGAAUCACAGGCAGUGACACCGAAAUGAAAGUGUACUAGUGUGAUAUAUCUCAUAUUAAAGGUUAAUUUCUCAUCUGAAAGUUAAUCUCUUUCCUGUGUUUUAAUGGUUUGUCAGGUCUUGUAGGAAUUAUGAAAUAUUAUGGAGAUUCUUCUAUAUUGUCAAGAUCUUGUUCUCAAGAAUAUUUGUUUUUUCUACUGAUUUAAUUGAAUGGGAAUGUAAGUUUUCUAUGCAAGGAAACAAGACUGGAUGCUCAAACUUUUGCAAGGGCAAAUCACAAUCAACUUUUUAUAAGAGUGUAUCAAGAUUAAGGGAAGAACUGAACAUAUUGUUGUUUAUGGAGGCAUCGUUGCUCGCCGACGCUGAUCAGUGUAGGAAUACCGCAGUAUCUUGACAGCAAUACAAAAUGUUUCUGAAAUAGAGGUUGAAGAAGGAAAAUUUUCAAAGAGGAGGGCUAUAGAUCCGUAACUUAUUAAGACUUUAAAUAUUUAGUUAAUUUACAUUAAUAAUUUACUUGAUUUAGUUUUUAUAUUUAUUGGCUAUUACUACGUUUGAAUUUGGAAUUAAUGAUUUAGUUUUCAAUUUGUAUUGUCCAGACUAAAUUUGAUAUAAAGGACAUGUUUUUUAUGACACAUUUAAUUCAGAGGCUUUGGUGCUAGAGAUGUUUGUUCGGUUUGAUUGAAGGUUUAUAAUUGAAGGUUUAGAAUUGGAUGAUGGUUUUGGUACUUGGAAUCAUAUAUUAUUAUUGCAGUUUGGGGUUAAUGCAUUUGGAUUUGGAUUAUGAAAUGAAAGUGUAUUAGUUUGUUUUGUUAGGUUAUGGUUGAAAGUUAAUAAAGUGAAAUUAGAGUUGGAUAAUGUUUUUGUUACUUGUUAGGCACCAUUUUUCUAUGUAAUAGUUGGUAAUUAUUAAAUAUUAAUUACUUGAAAAUUUGAUAUUUGUAGUGGGAUAUUAUUAUUGCAGUUUGGGGUUAGUUCAUUUGGAUCUGCGUUAUAGAAAAAUAUGAAAAUAGCGACCUAAAUGUGGUAUGUGUGAUGUUGAAAAAAUAUGAAAAAUUAAGUACCAACAAAAUUAGCUAUUAUACGUUUAAAAUUAUAUAUUACAUCGGGCAAGUGGGAAACCGAUGUAAAAACUGUCUAUUACAUCGGGCGGAUAGGAAAACCGAUGUAAAAUAUGGCGUAUAUAUUUUUUUAUUAAAAAAUUGUAUUAUUUUUCACAUCAGACGUUUGAAUUCAACCGAUGUGGUAUGUUAAUUUUUACAUCGGG